rnacentral:rRNA from 1 species
AUUGAACGCUGGCGGCAUGCCUUACACAUGCAAGUCGAACGGUAACAGGUCUUCGGAUGCUGACGAGUGGCGAACGGGUGAGUAAUGCAUCGGAACGUGCCCAGUAGUGGGGGAUAGCCCGGCGAAAGCCGGAUUAAUACCGCAUACGACCUGAGGGUGAAAGGGGGGGAUCGCAAGACCUCUCGCUAUUGGAGCGGCCGAUGUCAGAUUAGCUAGUUGGUGGGGUAAAGGCCUACCAAGGCAACGAUCUGUAGUUGGUCUGAGAGGACGACCAGCCACACUGGGACGGAGACACGGCCCAGACGCCUACGGGAGGCGGCAGUGGGGAAUUUUGGACAAUGGGCGCAAGCCUGAUCCAGCAAUGCCGCGUGCAGGAAGAAGGCCUUCGGGUUGUAAACUGCUUUUGUCAGGGAAGAAAUCUUCUGGGUUAAUACCUCGGGAGGAUGACGGUACCUGAAGAAUAAGCACCGGCUAACUACGUGCCAGCAGCCGCCGUAAUAC